rnacentral:piRNA from 1 species
UGGUACUAGGUAGGAUUUGCCA